UUGGAGGGCAAGUCUGGUGCCAGCAGCCGCGGUAAUUCCAGCUCCAAUAGCGUAUAUUAAAGUUGUUGCAGUUAAAAAGCUCGUAGUUGAAUUUCGGGAUUGACGUGAUGGUCAUGCCUUAAGGGGUAUGAACUGUUACUGUUGAUUUCUCACCUUCUGGAGAAACUUGAUGUCCUUUAUUGGGUGUCUUGCGGAUCCAGGACCUUUACCUUGAAAAAAUUAGAGUGUUUAAAGCAGGCAUUUUUGCUCGAAUACAUUAGCAUGGAAUAAUAGAAUAGGACGGCAUGGUUCUAUUUUGUUGGUUUCUAGGAUCACCGUAAUGAUUAAUAGGGAUAGUUGGGGGCAUUAGUAUUCAAUUGUCAGAGGUGAAAUUCUUGGAUUUAUUGAAGACUAACUACUGCGAAAGCAUUUGCCAAGGAUGUUUUCAUUAAUCAAGAACGAAAGUUAGGGGAUCGAAGACGAUCAGAUACCGUCGUAGUCUUAACCAUAAACUAUGCCGACUAGGAAUCGGGCGACGUUAUUUUCAUGGCUCGCUCGGCGCCUUAUGGGAAACCAAAGUGUUUGGGUUC
rnacentral:rRNA from 1 species